rnacentral:misc_RNA from 1 species
GAUGAAGAACGUAGCGAAAUGCGAUACGUAAUGUGAAUUGCAGAAUUCAGUGAAUCAUCGAAUCUUUGAACGCAUAUUGCGCUCUCUGGUAUUCCGGAGAGCAUGCUUGUUUGAGUAUCAGUAAACACCUCAACUCCCUUUUCUUUUUUGAAAUUGGAGCUGGACUUGAGUGAUCCCAACGCUUUCUUCCAAGAAAGUGGCGGGUUGCUUGCAAUGCAGGUGCAGCUGAACUUUUCUCUGAGCUAUAAGCAUAUCUAUUUAGUCUGCCUAAAAAACAGAUUAUUACCUUUGCUGCAGCUAACAUAAAGGAGACUAGUUCUUGUGCUGACUGAUGCAGGAUUCACAGAGACAGCUUCGGCUGACUUUGUAAACUCGAUCUCAAAUCAAGUAAGACUACCCGCUGAACUUAAGCAUAUCAAUAAGCGGAGGA